CUGUAUGUUUUUUAAACAAAAAAGGACCAAUACAGAUCGGAGAAAAGUUUUUUUUGCUUCCCUUGCGCGAGGCCAGUUUACUUACUAAAAGUAACGGGUAGUAUGUAGCCCGGCUAAUUUCCCACGCUCGGGAAA
rfam:Pseudomonas alcaligenes NBRC 14159 DNA, contig: PA6007.